CAUUCGUCCUUUCUCUCUGGAUCCCCUCUUCUCUCCCACGAUCCUCUCUCUCUUCCCCAACUGCCGCCGCCACCAUCGUCGCCUGGUACCGGCCAGUUCCGGCGAAGUCCGUCACCAUCCAGCACAUCCACGAGGUCAUCUUGUGACGCUGCUCCUUCUCCACCACGUUGAUCCAUCGCGCCGCUCCUCUACGAGCGGCCCCGGCUAACCCUAGCACCGCGGUCAUCGGUGCACUACACGGCGUCGCCAUGGACGCCGGCGCUGCGCCUGCGGCUCCGAUCGGUCCUCGCCGACACCGCCUAAGUCCUCCCGCACUGCAUCGCCUCCUGGUCGUUGUUCCAGGCGCCUCCAUCGACUGGAGGAACGAUCGGCCCUCGUCCUUGUGCCAGUGCGCGUCCGUGAAGGAAACAAACCGUGAUGUGCCGCCUCAGAUCAACUGUGUGAAGGCAGCGGGGGAUGGAUCACAAGGGGAGAGGUGCAGUCCUCCAGAGCUGUUGGAUCCCAAAAUUGGAAGAUGAUGGCGAUAUGUUGCGAGGAUGAGUGCUUCUCCAUUUUCUGUUCUGUAUGUGGUGGUCGACGUUUGUACCUCGCUCGGGCUAAUUUCUUUGGUGCACGGGCUUUCAGAUCUAAGGUUCACUGGCACACAAGAGUCACUUGGUUGUUUGAUGCAUUCGUGCUCGUCGGCGGGACGGUGCAAGGCGCAACUCCGAUGCGGUUCCUCACCGGUUGGACGGCGUUCAGGCGCAACCCCGGUGCUCACUGAGUACUGCCUCGGCUACAACCUCCCACGGUGAGGCGAGGAUUGUGCUCGGAGAGGACCCACACGACGCUCCGCUUGCCGUCGUGGUGCACCCCUUUUGAAAUUUCCCGAGAUAGCUGAUUGGUGCUACAUGAUACAGUGGUGUUCUCCAACAUCUUCCAUGUCCAUAAACUAUGGUUUAUUUGUUGGUCUAAUUAUCUCUUGCUUAUCAGUACGGAGACUACAAUUUGUUCAGUCGUAAAUAAGAUGUCUAACUCCAAGUUGAAGUAUUAUCAGACUUUAUUUUUUGUAGUGUUUGAUAAACCGGUGGUUUAUAGUACCAUGGGAAUUUGUCUCAUACGUAGUAUGUGGUUCCUUAUAAAAAUAUGCCAAUCGUGUUGAAACAAGUAAUUUAUCUAGCUACACAUGCCCUUUCUGAUGCAUUGCGGGUUUGCUAUCAAACUCUCAAAAAGAAAGAACAACUUUAUUUUGUUUUGUUGGGAAACCUUUCUGUAGUCACUACCUUGACAGAGACAACUAUGUAACCGAGGAUAUAUUUGGUGGGUUUUCAGGCAAAGCUUAGCGGAUAUUUUUAUAGGUUCAGCGCUUGCUUUAUGCUUUGAUAACUUUAAAUUCCUUUUGUUCUUUGGAUUAUCAUAGCAUACUCGUCUCUUCUAAUCCUAGCAAGGGCAUUCUUCAUGUUUACAGAUAGUUUGGCGCUCUCAUGGUUCUUUUCGAGAGAUUGUUCUUCCGAGCAUUAUUUGGUAACCAUCUACUGUAGAUCAUCUACUGCCCUUAUGACCUGAGCCCGCAGGAAUCGAUGCUGCUGCGUGACGUGGAGCCCAUGCCCGACCCCGACGACGGCGGUCGACCACAACCUCCCUCUCCGGAGAAGCUCAGGCUGCCACCACACAAAGGGAGAGGAGCCCAAGAUGAAUCUAUCCCGCCUUACUGUCAAUGACCCAACGACAGAGACAGCUACUUCGGGCCUAGGUGAGUAGCCGCCAGCCCUGCAUUUCGAGCCUAGGUAACCAAGUUUGUGUCUACUUCUAUGAUUAGUUGCUUAUGCUUCAUGGUCUUUGUGAAACACAACAUGAUGCCUUGUUGGUUCCUGGGCAAGGCCUUUUGGGACCGAUCUCUCUAGCGUUAAAGAAAGCAAGAUUGAUGCUCUGUUUUCUCUAUUUUUGUUGGGUUGGAACAGAGUGGGUUACCGAUCCCAUAUGCCAGUAUAUAGGAAGAACAAAAAAACUUAGGUGAUUUACCUUUUAACCUAAAUUUAUAUAGGAAACUUAUACUAACCUUUAUCUCAGUUAGUUGCACCAGUUUGCAUGUAUUUCAGUUGUGGCUCCUUUAUUCUAAGUUAGCUGCAUCAUCUUGCAGUUAUUAGUGUUCUUCCAUGCCUACUUACAUGAGUGUGUCACUUAUAUUGUUCAUGGUGUAUGCCACCUGAUCAUUGUACAACCAUUGUUGCCUAUCAAUAAAUUUUGGGGUAAUGGAGACAUUGAUCGUCUUUCUCGGACAAUAUAUGGUUUGACUUCUUGUUGUUACAUUUUUGUUUGCGUCAGAAUUAUAACAUGUAUUUGGUUAUUGCAACAGGUAGCUUAUUUACCCCCUAAUCCCCUUUACUUUUGUUUGAUACUGUGUACAUAUCAAUGUUUAGUCGCUUGAAUUCAGAACAAAGAUAUGGUACACCGGACACGAAAGAAAGCAGUAGAUAGAUAUACAGAUUCAGAUGAUAUAGUUUCUGUAGAUGCGAAGCACGGAAGUUCUAGGUAAAAGUGAAUCUGUUAGGGGGGAAAACGAAGGCUUGUGUGCCUAUUAGUUAUUUUUUUUGUUUUAUCAUUGUCGGCACCUUAUCUAUCUGUAACAUGUGUGACCUGUGCAACUGCAAAAGUAUUGGGCAAUAAAAAUUCUGUGUAACACAUGUUUUGUA